GGUCCGACGCUUCUCACGCUAUUCACUGGGCGUUUAUGAGCACUCUUUGUUGGUGCAGCCGCAACUCAGGGGGUUCAGGCUGCUUUCAGCCUUGACAGUGUGUCUGGGAGAGGAGAGAGUGACUCUGAGGCCGCUGAACGGCAGACUGACAGACCGUGAAGUUGAAGUCUCCUCGUAAGGACCGUGACCUGGCCGGCCUCGCGGGGGAGACGGUGCAGGUGGCUCUCAGAAACCAAUUCUCUCCCUAAAGCUGAUACAUCACAUUGUAUAGCCUGCCUACAUCAACACUGAAGGGGACCGAGGAGCCGACGAUGCGUCAUGUAUCUCCCGAGCUGCACCUACAUAGUGUCC